rnacentral:rRNA from 1 species
CCCCUAGAUGUUCUGGGCCGCACGCGCGCUACACUGAACAGUUCAACAAGUCUUAACCUUGGCCGAUAGGUCUGGGUAAUCUUUGAACGCUGUUCGUGAUUGGGAUAGACCUUUGCAAUUAUGGGUCUUCAACGAGGAAUUCCUAGUAAACGCAAGUCAUCAGCUUGCAUUGACUACGUCCCUGCCCUUUGUACACACCGCCCGUCGCACCUACCGAUUGAAUGGUCCGGUGAAAUCUCGGGACGGCGGCUUGGUCGCUUGCGUCCGACUGCUGAAACUUGAUUAAACCAUAUCAUUUAGAGGAAGGUGAAGUCGUANCA